CAGUGAGUGGAUUAGUUGGUACCUAAUAUAACAUGUACUAGCAUUAGCAGCAAUACCAAAUGGUCCAAUAGAUGAAGGAUUAUUGUCAUAAUACAUGAUCUCUAAAUAUACCAAAACUUAAAAAUACAAGAUUGCGCCAAAGUUAAACUAGAUAGAUAAUAUUAGGUACCAACUAAUCCACUCACUGAGAGGACCACUUCUCUAACUGCGAUUCAUAGCAACGCAGGUCUAGCCAGUCCUUGGACGAACCCUUUUGCCGUAUUGGGACUUCCCUUUCCACCACCGACUACUUAUUUUCCCUCCCGGUUCCACUAAUUCUCCCAUCUGCUUCCUUCAGUUUCUGCUUCAACCGCUGUUUACGGCCGUAAGAGUUCAGCUCUUGCUGCUUUGAUUGUGAACGUGGAGCCCCGUGAGGUCCUAGGUAAAUG
rnacentral:misc_RNA from 1 species